GCCGGGAUGGCAGAGUGGACCACAGAAGUACACAAUAAUGCGCGGGCCUUGAGAGCCCGUGACCCUUUCGGGUCUCGUGGGUUCGAAUCCCACUCCCGGCG
rnacentral:tRNA from 1 species